ACUCCUGCGGGAGGCAGCAGUGGGGAAUAUUGGACAAUGGGCGCAAGCCUGAUCCAGCCAUGCCGCGUGAGUGAUGAAGGCCCUAGGGUUGUAAAGCUCUUUCACCGGUGAAGAUAAUGACGGUAACCGGAGAAGAAGCCCCGGCUAACUUCGUGCCAGUAGCCGCGGUAAUACGAAGGGGGCUAGCGUUGUUCGGAUUUACUGGGCGUAAAGCGCACGUAGGCGGACUAUUAAGUCAGGGGUGAAAUCCCGGGGCUCAACCCCGGAACUGCCUUUGAUACUGGUAGUCUUGAGUUCGAGAGAGGUGAGUGGAAUUCCGAGUGUAGAGGUGAAAUUCGUAGAUAUUCGGAGGAACACCAGUGGCGAAGGCGGCUCACUGGCUCGAUACUGACGCUGAGGUGCGAAAGCGUGGGGAGCAAACAGGAUUAGAUACCCUUGUAGUCCCAUG
rnacentral:rRNA from 1 species